GCUGGGUAUGGUGGUGCAUGCCUGUAAUCCCAGAGGCUUGGGAGGCUGAGGCAGGAGGAUCACAAGUUCAAAGCCAGCCUCAG
rnacentral:sRNA from 1 species